GAUGAACGCUGGCGGCGUGCCUAAUACAUGCAAGUCGAGCGAACAGACGAGGAGCUUGCUCCUCUGACGUUAGCGGCGGACGGGUGAGUAACACGUGGAUAACCUACCUAUAAGACUGGGAUAACUUCGGGAAACCGGAGCUAAUACCGGAUAAUAUAUUGAACCGCAUGGUUCAAUAGUGAAAGACGGUUUUGCUGUCACUUAUAGAUGGAUCCGCGCCGCAUGAGCUAGUUGGUAAGGUAACGGCUUACCAAGGCGACGAUGCGUAGCCGACCUGAGAGGGUGAGCGGCGACACUGGAGGGGAGCCGCGGUCCUGGGGCCUACGGGAGGCCGCAGUAGGGAAUGGGCGGCAAUGGGGGGAAGUCUGACGGAGCAGCGGCGAGCGAGUGAUGAAGGUCUGCGGAGCGUAAAACUGUGUUAUGGGGGAAGAACAAAUGUGGAAGUAACUAUGCACGUCUUGACGGUACCUAAUGAGGAAGCCACGGCUAACUACGUG
rnacentral:rRNA from 1 species